AGUGGACGCUGGCGGUAGGCCUAACACAUGCAAGUCGAACGGCAGCACAGUAAGAGCUUGCUCUUACGGGUGGCGAGUGGCGGACGGGUGAGGAAUACAUCGGAAUCUACUUUUUCGUGGGGGAUAACGUAGGGAAACUUACGCUAAUACCGCAUACGACCUACGGGUGAAAGCAGGGGAUCUUCGGACCUUGCGCGAUUGAAUGAGCCGAUGUCGGAUUAGCUAGUUGGCGGGGUAAAGGCCCACCAAGGCGACGAUCCGUAGCUGGUCUGAGAGGAUGAUCAGCCACACUGGAACUGAGACACGGUCCAGACUCCUACGGGAGGCAGCAGUGGGGAAUAUUGGACAAUGGGCGCAAGCCUGAUCCAGCCAUACCGCGUGGGUGAAGAAGGCCUUCGGGUUGUAAAGCCCUUUUGUUGGGAAAGAAAAGCAGCAGGUUAAUACCCCGCUGUUCUGGCGGUACCCAAAGAAUAAGCACCGGCUAACUUCGUG
rnacentral:rRNA from 1 species